rnacentral:rRNA from 1 species
UACAGAGGUCUCAAGCGUUGUUCGGAUUCAUUGGGCGUAAAGGGUGCGUAGGCGGCGCGGUAAGUCGGGUGUGAAAUCUCGGAGCUUAGCUCCGAAACUGCAUUCGAUACUGGCGUGCUUGAGGACUGGAGAGGAGACUGGAAUUCCUGGUGUAGCGGUGAAAUGCGCAGAUAUCAGGAGGAACACCGGUGGCGAAGGCGGGUCUCUGGGCCGAUACUGACGCUGGAGGAGCGAAAGCCGUGGGGAGCGAACAGG